UAUGUAGCUAUGAUUAGGAUGAGUAAAUAUAUAUUGAUUUUUCAGAGAGGAAGUGGCUGGUGAGAACUUCUAAAUUGGUUUUAUUGAAGCUACCUAUGAGCUAUAACCAUUUAGAGUGAUGUAAUUUAAUUUACAUAAUUAGGGUGGUACCGCGGAAGAGUUAGCCUUUCGUCCCUUGU
rnacentral:ncRNA from 1 species